AAAGUUUCAGCCACAGCAACCAUUAACUAUGUAUAUUCAUGAGAGAAUUCACACUGUCAGAAAUCUCCAUUGAUGAAAUGAAUAUUGGAUAGGCUUCCGAUGCAGAUAAUCAUUUGAAAAUUCAAGACUAAAGAAUAAUCGUGGGAUUCUAAAGAUUUAUGAUCUUGUUGAUUGCAGCUUCGCCUCCAGCUCCUGACUCUCGGGCCCAUCAUGUCCACCUGGGGCUCAUUCUUCUAGGCUCUUCUUGGUGCCCACGAGUUCCCAGAGGCAGAUCUGACGGCUCGUCAUCUCUCAUGGAGGACGUUCCCAAACUUGGCAAAAUGACAGAUCCUUGACAUGCUGAGGAUUGUUUCAGUUACAAGUAUUAAGCAUCUUCGGCAGGUUGCUAAAGAGCUGGUUCCCUAGGAGGGUCUGAGCACUGUGUUCUGGAGCCUGAGCAGAACAUGCAGAGAAGGGACCACAGCUGGAAGGUGGGAGGAGAUCUGAUGGAGGAUAAGGGCAAGGAUAAGAUGACCACCCUCUGGGAGCCCGGGAGAAGUACAGAAAGACCUUCUGAGAGGACAGAGCUGGUGACGGGUGCCCGAAGCUUGCUGUGAGCCAGGAAGAACUCUAGGAAAGGAAUGGCGGGCAGGGACAGCAACCACUCACCUGCCCAGAGUGUCAAGAGGGAAGGGGCGCUAUGUGGGGGAGCAAACUCCUUUUUCCAUUUUGUUUUUCAGUUGACAAGUAUUUUUUCUUUAUCUUCCUAGCCCCUCCUACCAUUUAAUAGGAAAACAAAACUCUUACAACAAAUACAUAUCAGGCAAAACAGAUUUCCAGUAUCCCAACAGAGUCCCAGUAUCCAUAUUCAAAAAUACUCUCAUUCUGUUUGUUGAAUCCAUCACCUGUCAGGUAAUCAGGACAGAUCAUCCUAAUUCCUCUGGAAUCACGGUCACUCAUUAAUCAAAGAUCUUGAAUCUUCCAGAAUUGUUUAUAUUUUUAUAAAACUGUUAAAUUAUAGGAAUGGUUAGAGAAUCAUUAUAAACCCUUGCUUUUAGCUGAUACAAGGAAGUCCUCUAAGUCUCUAAGGAGAUAAUGGUAGCUCAUUGAUGGAUAUUCUUUCUUAUGGGUUUGGCUAAGAGUUCUGUUUCCAUUAACUCAUGAAUAAGAUUGUUCUGUAGUUCAUUGAUGGCUAUUCUUUUCUCUGGGCUUGGACGUUAGCUCUGUAGAUUUCUAGUAACUUGCAAAUAAAAUUGUUCGUGUUAUGAGACUUGUGAGCCCAUGUGCUUGUAAGAAGAUCUGGUGGUU
rnacentral:lncRNA from 1 species